GAUGAACGCUAGCGGCAGGCCUAAUACAUGCAAGUCGAGCGGCAAGUCGAGGAGUAAUCUAAGACCUAGAGCGGCGCACGGGUGCGUAACGCGUAUGCAACCUACCUUAUACUGGGGGAUAGCCCGGAGAAAUCUGGAUUAAUACCCCAUGGCACAUAUUGAUGGCAUCUGAGAUAUGUUAAAGAUUUAUUGGUAUAAGAUGGGCAUGCGUCUGAUUAGCUAGUUGGCGGUGUAACGGACCACCAAGGCGACGAUCAGUAGGGGUUCUGAGAGGAAGGUCCCCCACACUGGCACUGAGAUACGGGCCAGACUCCUACGGGAGGCAGCAGUAGGGAAUUUUGGACAAUGGACGCAAGUCUGAUCCAGCCAUUCCGCGUGCAGGAUGAAGGCCCUCGGGUUGUAAACUGCUUUUGUACGGACGAAAAGGUCUCUCUUAAUACGGGGGGCUCAUGACGGUACCGUAAGAAUAAGCACCGGCUAACUACGUGCCAG
rnacentral:rRNA from 1 species